rnacentral:rRNA from 1 species
UUAUAUAGGUGNUUGCNCUGAAUGAUANUUUUAACACGAAGUGAGUGGCGGACGGGUUGAGUAACACGUGGGCAACCUGCCCAGAAGCAGGGGAUAACACCUGGAAACAGAUGCUAAUACCGUAUAACAGAGAAAACCGCCUGGUUUUCUUUUAAAAGAUGGCUCUGCUAUCACUUCUGGAUGGACCCGCGGCGCAUUANCUAGUUGGUGAGGUAACGGCUCACCAAGGCGAUGAUGCGUANCCGACCUGAGAGGGUAAUCGGCCACAUUGGGACUGAGACACGGCCCAGACUCCUACGGGAGGCAGCAGUAGGGAAUCUUCCACAAUGGACGCAAGUCUGAUGGAGCAACGCCGCGUGAGUGAAGAAGGGUUUCGGCGCGUAAAGCUCUGUUGUUAAAGAAGAACGUGGGUGAGAGUAACUGUUCACCCAGUGACGGUAUUUAACCAGAAAGCCACGGUUNACUACCUUGCCAGCAGCCGCGGUA